ensembl:snRNA U6 U6 spliceosomal RNA
GAGCUCGCUUCGGCAGCACAUACACUAAACUUGGAACGCUACAGAGAAGAUAAACAUGGCCCCUGCACAAGGAUGACACGCAAAUUCGUGAAGCGUUCCAUAUUUUU